AAAAAAAAAGCCCAAAAAUGAUGUUGAAGAGCAGCUUACCUCUUGGGGCUUUUAUACGUGUUCACCAAGUGGACAGAGAUACCAACCUGAGGGCCUCUGGCCUUAGUGUGGCUCGUAGACUUAAUCAGUUUUGUCUGAAAAUUGUGUGUAUUAACUUCACCACUUAACAACUGGAGAUUUCCCAGAAGAAGGAAUGGAUUUUGAUGAAUCUGGCAAGACUGAACCCACAUUGCACUUUCAGGGAUACCAGUUGGCUGGGUGGGGGUCUGUCCCUUGGCUGGGGCCACCUCUCCUAUCUGUGGCAGUCCCCACCUUGCCUGUUUCCCUUGUGUAUGCUACCUGCAAAACCCAUACAUGCAUUUGAGUUCGUUGCCCCUACUUAAGGCAAUUUUCUUAGGAAUCUGUCAUCUCUGGUAACUUCAUCAGAAGGUAAAGUCCUUUGAAGAUAGUUCCGGUUAGGUCAUUGAUUAUGGUUUUAUAUCAUCUCAUAGCAUUAUUUGCAUCUUUAUACCUUUGCUUCCUCUCAUCUUUGAGGAGAAUAUGAACAUUUAUGGAGUACUUGUAACAUAUUAGACAUUGUUGUAAGUUGCAUAGAGAUAGUCACAAAAUCCAGAAAACUUGUUAUGAGUUACUGUGGUAAUCAUAAGUAUGGUACUGCACUGGUUUCCUACUGCUGCUGUAAUAUUGCAACAAACCAAGUGGCUUAAGCAACACAAAUUUAUUUCUCUCCAGCUCCAUUGCUCAGAAGUCAGAAGUGCCAGGCCCAUGUCAGAGGCUUAUCUUUUAGUGUGAGUUCAUUAAUCUUGUCCUUAGACAAAUUGGUUGAUGAAAGAAGGGCUUUUAUCUAUGUUUCAUGGGAAGGGACAGCAUUUAGCAAUGGUGCUUAGUCUUGUUCUUUUUCAUGACUCAGAGACCACUUUUAAAAUCUUCAAAAGUUAAAAAAUGCUCCAGAAAGGCCAGCACAUGACAAAUUUGCAUACAAUUUCAGGUCCAAUUCCCUGGACCCUGUGAAGGCCGUUAGGGACCCCAACCUAGCAAAUGUGAGGCUUUUCCAAGGCUUGUGGUAAAUGGUGGCUAUUUCACUUCAUUUUCAGAGCAAGGAAGGCAUUCGCAAGCUGGGCUACUUGUUAACCUUUUAAAAGCUAUAGUGGAGUUUCUAGGAAAACACCAAAAGCUGAUGCUACCUUGUCCGAGGCACGUCCACAUGUUUCACAAGACGGUGUGUAUGGUGAAGCUGGAGUCCACAGGAGACUAGAGGAGAGACAUGGUCAUGGUCAUGGUCAUGGUCACCUUGCUCUGCAGGAGAUGCUGAAAGGAACCGGACUGGCUGGGGAGCCAUCCGGCCGUCAUUACGGAACAUGCCAGACUUUGGCAAGUCUCUCUUUCUGUCAGCAUGACCACUCUUGGAACCCAGCCGCUGUGCUUCCAGAAAGCCCAAACCAGCUCAUGCAGAAAGAUCACAUGGAGAGACACAUGAGAACAGAGAUCGAGGUCUCCAGCCAACAGCCAGCAUUAACUGCCAGCCAUGUGAGUAAAUGAGCUUUCAGAGAAUCCCAGAUAACAGAGAGCAAAGAAAAUCAUCCCCUCUGUGCCUGUUUGAAUUCAUAAUUACAAUUAUGCUCAAAAUUAUAAGCAUAACAAAUGGUUGCUUUACAUCAUUAUAUUUUGGGGUCAUUUGUUACCCAGCCUUUUAAAAUUUUUUAUUUCUUUGUCUUUUUUGAGCCAUGCCUGUGGCAUAUGCAAGUUCCCAGGCUAGGGGUCGAAUUGGAGCUACAGCUGCCAGCCUACACCACAGCCACAGAAACACAGGAUCCGAACUGUGUCUGUGACCUACACCACGGCUCACAGCAAUGCUGGAUCCUUAUCCCACUGAGCAAGGCCAUGGAUUGAACCCUCGUCCUCAUGGAUACUAGUCGGGUUUGUUACUGCUGGGCCGUGACCGGAACUCCCACCCAGUCUUAAUCAUUGGGAUGUGCUGGGAGAUGAGAUACAGAGAGUAACCAAAUCCAUGUUCACUGUCUUCAUGGAAUGUAUACACCCAUAUUUCUGAGAUUCCUUUCGUAGCUUCACACACUGAGAGGAUCAGGGGGCCUGAGUUUGGAACAAGUUGAGAGAGACUCUUCUGAGUCAGACAUAUAGAACUGAAAAUACGAGCUCUGAUGCUGAUAAUGUUGGUUGGGGCCUGUGGCUUUAGGACUGUAGCCACGUGUGUUUGCUAAUAUCUCUCUCACUCCUUGAUCAGAUUUAGUCACUUAUCUAGGUGCUGGCCCAGCUGGAAAACGUCAGGCCUUCUCCCCAACCCCUUUCCCUUCAUACACCUUUUCCAAGAAUAGCACCCUUGAGCAGGGAACAGUCUGCAGGACUGAGGAAGGGGGCUAAGUGCGCAUGCUCAGCUCUUCUCCCACACUCUAUGUAGUCAGAUGAGUCCCUCCUCCUCCCUGCAGAGUCGGGGUGGGGAAAGGCACACACAGUGUUAGUGCAGCUGGGCGACUUCCAUGUGGAAAUGUGAAUGUCAUACAUCUCACUAUAUUAUUAUUAAAGUUUUAUUGGUUCUUUAAUGAUUUCCACUUUAGCAUUGCCUGAAGCAAAAAUUCUCAUGGAAUCAGGGAUUUGAUUUGCCAAUGAUACAUUUUUCUGACAUAAUUAAAAUCAACUUUUAAAAAUUACUUGUCUGUGUACCAUUCAAAAUCAUUUCGCAUAUAUCAGUGGAUGUAUAUUACACUUGGGGAAAUCAUGCUAUGAGGUAUUGAUCUGAUGUCAUCCCAUAAAAUAUUAAUCUGAUGUCAUCCAGCUCAGGCAGUUAUCUAAUUCAAUGUUUGGUCCAAGACAAAUGAAAGACAUGAAAACUGAUAUUAAAUGAAAAAAAAA